rnacentral:piRNA from 1 species
UGUUCUUUUUGGAACAAGCCCUAGACUGU